rnacentral:rRNA from 1 species
CAGUCGCCGCGGGAAUACGUAGGGUGCAAGCGUUGUCCGGAAUUACUGGGCGUAAAGAGUUCGUAGGCGGUUUGUCGCGUCGUUUGUGAAAACCAGCAGCUCAACUGCUGGCUUGCAGGCGAUACGGGCAGACUUGAGUACUGCAGGGGAGACUGGAAUUCCUGGUGUAGCGGUGAAAUGCGCAGAUAUCAGGAGGAACACCGGUGGCGAAGGCGGGUCUCUGGGCAGUAACUGACGCUGAGGAACGAAAGCGUGGGUAGCGAACAGGAUUAGAUACCCCCGUAGUCCCUGUCUCUUAUAC